rnacentral:lncRNA from 10 species
AGGGACUCAUGCUCCGCUAAGGUUUCAGUCUGAGAACAUUUUUGCCAGUUUCUGACACUCUCCUAGAUGCUGCAGACCCUUUCAUUCAUGGGACAGAUGUGAGAUGAAAAGACUGAGGCAUGGAAGGGAUGAAGAGCCUGUCCAGGACCAGCAGUUAAUCACAGGAGAACUGGGAGCUGAGCCCAGGCUGCCUGGCUUGCAGCUGCCCUGGGCCUGCCUCUCUGUGCUGCAGGGCUGUCAGAUCCAAUGCCCUUGGCAUCUGUAGAGAAAAGCAAUCCACACAAUUCUUAUACAUAAAAUAAAAACCAUUUUGGCUACUAAAAAAUAU